CCCAAGGCCUGGAGUUGCCUGGGGCCUGAGGGUGGCACUGGGAAGUCAACAGCGGGCUUUUAAAAAUAUUUCUUAUUGUGGUAAAAUACGCAUAAUCAUGAAACUUACCAUGUUAAUCAUUAGGUAUACAGUUGAGUGACACUAAGCACAUUCACCCUGUGUAGCCGUCACCGCCCUUCCCUCCAGGAUGUGCUCAUCUUUCCAGGCCAAAGCUCCCCGCCCAUGGAACACUAACUUCUCCCGCCUCCCCGUGCCGUGCUGUGCUGUGCUGUUGGAGGAGAGAGAGUGAAGAAGAGCCGGCACCUGAAUCUCAGACCCAGAAGCUGCCCACACUUCUAUCAGGCUGGGGAGUGAGCUCCAGCUUGGACGUGGGCCUCCAGGACACUGGCCUCCCAUUUGGUGGCCUCACAUUCUUGAAGUUAGACCCACUGGCUGGUGGGAUGCUGAAUGGCUGGAGUGGAGGUGGUUCCUGCAGGAAUAGUCUGUGCAGGCAGCGCCAGGCAGUGCCGGAGAGCUGGGCGUGGGCUGCAGAGGGCCACUUUGCAGCUGGGGCUUGUCCAGAGGAGAGAAGCGUUGAGACAGCUGGGGGUACGUGGCUCACCUGGCUUUUUUCACAGACGUUGCUGACCCCUGCUCAGUGCCUGGCUAGGGGAUGAGCAUGAAGAGGACAGGGAGGAUCUGGG
rnacentral:lncRNA from 1 species